rnacentral:lncRNA from 1 species
GUGUAACAACUAAAAUCAUCAAUAAAAGUCACAAACCACCUAUGUCCCGAAACAAAACAAACCUCACAGGUCCCCAGACAUCAGAAUGUACCACUUCAAAAGGUUUGUGACUUCGCAAACACCUACUAGGAUAGGUUCCCCUUGUAUGUUUAGCUAACUCACAUGCAUCACAUACAAGGGAUUCCUUAGGACAUAAUUGGAAAAGAGAGGGAUAAAUACGAGACAUGCAUCACAUACAAGGGAUUCCUUAGGAAAGAUGACCCAGCCUUCGGUGAUGGAGUAACAGUUCUUGACUAGGAGACAUGCAGGUUGCAAGAGCAAUUUCAUCACCCCCUUCAUCAAGGUAGUAGAGUCCAUCAUGCAUGGUCCCAACCCCGAGGAGUCUCCCUGUUCCAAGC